rnacentral:rRNA from 1 species
GGCCCCUAAGCGAUAACUAAGUGGAAAAGGAUGUGGAGUUGCGGUGACAACCAGGAGGUUGGCUUGGAAGCAGCCACCCUUGAAAGAGUGCGUAAUAGCUCACUGGUCAAGUGAUUCUGCGCCGACAAUUUAGCGGGGCUCAAGUUAUCCGCCGAAGCUAUGGCAUUCACGCGUGUACUUGACUUUCGAGUCCAGGUGCGUGGAUGGGUAGGGGAGCGUCGUGUGCGCGAUGAAGCGGCGGGGUGACCCAGUCGUGGAGAGCACACGAGUGAGAAUGCAGGCAUGAGUAGCGAAUGACGGGUGAGAAACCCGUCCGCCGAAUAUCCAAGGGUUCCAGGGUCAAGCUAAUCUGCCCUGGGUAAGUCGGGACCUAAGGCGAGGCCGACAGGCGUAGUCGAUGGACAACGGGUUGAUAUUCCCGUACCGGCGAAGUACGGCCCAUGCUGAAUCAGGUGAUGCUGAGCACGGAAGGUGUCGGAGGUCUUCGGAUCGAUGAUGCUGACUCUGCGACCCAAACUUGUAGUAGGCAAGCUGCGGAGGGACGCAGGAAGGUAGCCCAUCCCGGUGACUGGUAUGCCGGGACAAGCGUGUAGGGCGAGGGGUAGGCAAAUCCGCUCCUCAUGUGCCUGAGACGUGACGUCGUGAUUGGAAUUCGUUUCCAAGAGUGGGUGAUCCUAUGCUGCCUAGAAAAGCUUCGUGAGCGACGUAUGAGCCGCCCGUACCCCAAACCGACACAGGUGGAUAGGUAGAGAAUACCAAGGCGAUCGAGAUAAUCGUGGUGAAGGAACUCGGCAAAAUACCCCCGUAACUUCGGGAUAAGGGGGACCGGAUGUGUGAGGACACGAGCUGUCUGAAGCAUUGAAGGUCGCAGAGACCAGGCCCAAGCGACUGUUUACUAAAAACACAGGUCCGUGCCAAGUCGAAAGACGAUGUAUACGGACUGACUCCUGCCCGGUGCUGGAAGGUUAACGGGAAGUGUCAGCGCAAGCGAAGCACUGAACUUAAGCCCCAGUAAACGGCGGUGGUAACUAUAACCAUCCUAAGGUAGCGAAAUUCCUUGUCGGGUAAGUUCCGACCUGCACGAAUGGAGUAACGAUUUGGGCGCUGUCUCCACCACGAACUCGGCGAAAUUGCAGUACGAGUAAAGAUGCUCGUUACGCGCAGCAGGACGGAAAGACCCCGGGACCUUUACUAUAGUUUGGUAUUGGUGUUCGGUGCGACUUGUGUAGGAUAGGUGGGAGACUGUGAAGCAGCCACGCCAGUGGUUGUGGAGUCAUCGUUGAAAUACCACUCUGGUCGCUCUGGAUAUCUAACCUAGGUCCAUGAUCUGGAUCAGGGACAGUGCCUGAUGGGUAGUUUGACUGGGGCGGUCGCCUCCCAAAAGGUAACGGAGGCGCCCAAAGGUUCCCUCAGCCUGGUUGGUAAUCAGGUGGCGAGUGUAAGUGCACAAGGGAGCUUGACUGUGAGAGAGACAUCUCGAGCAGGGACGAAAGUCGGGACUAGUGAUCUGGCGGUGGCUUGUGGAAGCGCCGUCACUCAACGGAUAAAAGGUACCCCGGGGAUAACAGGCUGAUCUUGCCCGAGCGCUCACAGCGACGGCAUGGUUUGGCACCUCGAUGUCGGCUCGUCGCAUCCUGGGGCUGGAGUCGGUCCCAAGGGUUGGGCUGUUCGCCCAUUAAAGCGGCACGCGAGCUGGGUUUAGAACGUCGUGAGACAGUUCGGUCCCUAUCCGCUGCGCGCGUAGGAAUCUUGAGAAGAGCUGUCCUUAGUACGAGAGGACCGGGACGGACUAACCUCUGGUGUGCCAGUUGUUCUGCCAAGAGCACGGCUGGUUGGCUACGUUGGGAAGUGAUAACCGCUGAAAGCAUCUAAGCGGGAAGCACGCUUCAAGAUGAGGGUUCCCACAGAAUAAUCUGGUAAGGCCCCCGGCAGACCACCGGGUGAUAGGUCGGAUGUGGAAGUGCUGAAAGGCAUGGAGCUGACCGAUACUAAUAGGCCGAGGGCUUGUUCAU